rnacentral:rRNA from 1 species
UACGAAGGGGGCUAGCGUUGCUCGGAAUCACUGGGCGUAAAGCGCACGUAGGCGGACUCUUAAGUCGGUGGUGAAAUCCUGGAGCUCAACUCCAGAACUGCCUUUGAUACUGAGAAGCUUGAGUCCGGGGGAGGUGAGUGGAACUGCGAGUGUAGAGGUGAAAUUCGUAGAUAUUCGCAAGAACACCAGUGGCGAAGGCGGCUCACUGGCCCGGUACUGACGCUGAGGUGCGAAAGCGUGGGGAGCAAACAGG